rnacentral:misc_RNA from 1 species
GGAAGGAUCAUUACCGAGUACCGGGUCUUCGGGCCCUUACUCCCACCCUAUGUGUACCUACCAUUUUUCGUUGCCUUGGCGGGGUCGAUCCCAAGGGUCUCACGACCCGCGGGGGACUCGCCAGGGGAACACACCUAAACCCUGUUAACCGUAACGUCUGAGAAAAAAUUAAACAAGUUAAAACUUUCAACAACGGAUCUCUUGGUUCUGGCAUCGAUGAAGAACGCAGCGAAAUGCGAUAAGUAAUGUGAAUUGCAGAAUUCAGUGAAUCAUCGAAUCUUUGAACGCACAUUGCGCCCUUUGGUAUUCCGAAGGGCAUGCCUGUUCGAGCGUCAUUUCAAACCUCAAGCUCACGCUUGGUAUUGGGCAUCGUCCGUUAAGGACGUGCCAGAAACCCGUAGGCAGUGGUGUCCAUCUCCCAGCGUAGUCAAUUCUAUCCGCUUCGGAGCUUAGGCAUUACCCGCCCGACAACCUCUAAAUCUUCUAUGGUUUGACCUCGGAUCAGGUAGGGAUACCCGCUGAACUUAAGCAUAUCAAUAAGCGGAGGAAAAGAAACCAACAGGGAUUGCCUCAGUAACGGCGAGUGAAGCGGCAACAGCUCAAAUUUGAAAUCUGGUCCUUUCAGGGCUCGAGUUGUAAUUUGUAGAGGAAGUUUCGGCUUACGCCCCGGUCUAAGUUCCUUGGAAUAGGACGUCAGAGAGGGUGAGAACCCCGUUUGUGGCCGGCGGCUUCCGCCAUGUGAAGCUCCUUCGACGAGUCGAGUUGUUUGGGAAUGCAGCUCUAAAUGGGAGGUAAAUUUCUUCUAAAGCUAAAUACCGGCCAGAGACCGAUAGCGCACAAGUAGAGUGAUCGAAAGAUGAAAAGCACUUUGGAAAGAGAGUUAAAAAGUACGUGAAAUUGUUGAAAGGGAAGCGCUUGCGACCAGACUUGCCCGCGGAUGCUCAGCCGGUCCUUCGGCCGGUGUACUCUUCCGCGGUCAGGCCAGCAUCAGUUUGGGCGGUCGGAUAAAGGCCUUGGGAAUGUAGCUCCCCUCGGGGAGUGUUAUAGCCCUCGGUGCAAUGCGGCCCGCCUGGACUGAGGUACGCGCUUCGGCUAGGAUGCUGGCGUAAUGGUCGUAAGCGGCCCGUCUUGAAACACGGACCAAGGAGUCUAACAUCUAUGCGAGUGUUUGGGUGUCAAACCCGUGCGCGAAAUGAAAGUGAACGGAGGUGGGAGCCCUCGGGCGCACCAUCGACCGAUCCUGAUGUCUUCGGAUGGAUUUGAGUAAGAGCAUAGCUGUUGGGACCCGAAAGAUGGUGAACUAUGCCUGAAUAGGGUGAAGCCAGAGGAAACUCUGGUGGAGGCUCGCAGCGGUUCUGACGUGCAAAUCGAUCGUCAAAUUUGGGUAUAGGGGCGAAAGACUAAUCGAACCAUCUAGUAGCUGGUUCCUGC